rnacentral:rRNA from 1 species
GAUGAACGCUGGCGGCGUGCCUAAUACAUGCAAGUCGAGCGGACAGACGAUGCUCUUGCUCCUCUCACGUUAGCGGCGGACGGGUGAGUAACGCGUGGAUCCCCUCCCUAUAUUUCUGGUAUCUCUUCGAGAAACCGGAUCUAAUACCGUAUGAUCUAUUGAACCGUAGGGUUGAUUAGUGAGUUUCGGCUUUUCUGUCACUUCUCGAUGGAUCCGGGCCGGAUUGUGUAGUUGGUAAGGUCACGGCCUACCAAGGGAACGAUGCGUAGCAGACCUGAGUGGGUGGUAGGCCACACGGGAACAUAGACACGGUCAUGACUCCUACGGGAGGCAGCAGUAGGGAAUCUUCCGCAGUGGGCGAAAGCCUGACGGAGCAACGCCGCGUGAGUGAUGAAGGUCUUCGGAUCGUAAAACUCUGUUAUUAGGGAAGAACAAAUGUGUAAGGAACUGUGCACGUCUUGACGGUACCUAAUCAGAAAGCCACGGCUAACUACGUG